GUGUUUUUUACAGCAAGAAUGCCAUUUAUCUCUUUGAAAUGGAAAACCUAGAAAUCCUAACAGACAUUCAAAUGGUAAAUGGAACAGCGCUUGAUAUGAUCCAGAGCUACCGUACCACAUAUGUGGGUGCUGUCUGAUUUACUUAAAACGGGCGGUAUCCCAUAUGAAAGUAUUUCGAGAGCGAUGCAUCAGGACUUCAGGGUACCCAGAAGAUCUCAACGAUCUCGCAGGACCUCAAUGACGGUAUUAAUAGUAUUAUAAAAGUGAAAAAUGAAAUAAACAGCAGUGACUGUCGAGAUUCAUUAGAAGAACUUGAGGAGAUAUUGGACAAUGACUUAAGCCCAAAUGACAAUCAAGAAAGUUUCUCAAAUUUAAUAAACGCUGUAAUAGAAGGUGCAGAAAAAAAUAAAACGCGAAUAGAGAAUAAGAAGAUUUCUAUAUCGAGCAUUCCGGAUAGUGUCGUUGAUGAAAACGACCAGGAAAAGUCAAGUGAAGUUAAAUUCAACUUAAACUUAACUUAACUUGCGUCCUCAUUCCUGUAAAUACUGCGAUAAAACCUUCAUUUCCUUAAACAGUCUUUAAACAGUCCACCACCUAACUCACAAUGGCAUUCGUGCAUAUUUCUGCACCAAAAAUUUCAACGUAAUGUUCACUUGACCGCUCAUCUGCGUUCCAAACAGCAUGCUUGAAAUAAGCUAACGCAGAUUUAAAGAACAGUUGUAUAAUAUAAUGAACUUUAAUUUAUAUUUCUGGACAACCCCGUUGUGAUGAACAUUGACUCUAAUUACAGAUAAAUCGAGAAAAUGUA